GAGCAGAGAGCAGAGUUGGAUUGGCCUAAACGGAUGGAGAUAAUAUGCGGGAUUGCUCGCGGAAUCUUGUAUCUUCAUCAAGAUUCAAGACUGAGGAUCAUCCACAGAGACCUCAAGGCCAGCAAUGUACUGCUUGACAACGAAAUGAUCCCCAAGAUUGCGGAUUUUGGCAUGGCGAGAAUCUUUGGGGGGAAACAAAUCAGAGGAAGCACAAAUCGGGUCGUCGGAACAUAGUGAGUUAGUCUUUUACAAUUCACAUUGAACUGUGCAGAAUCUUUCAACCUUACAUCGUUUUCAAUCUCAUUGUCACAGUGGAUAUAUGUCACCUGAGUAUGCAAUGGAGGGUCAUUUCUCCGUUAAAUCCGACGUCUACAGCUUUGGAGUAUUGAUGUUAGAGAUCAUAACAGGAAAGAAAAACAGUGCUUUCCACAAGGAAUCAUCGAACCUUGUUGGACGUGUAAGUAGCAAAAAGAAUUACAUGAACAGAGGAUCAAAUCAGAACAUAACAUAACCAAAUGAUGUUUAUUUCGUCUUGUCUUGUAGAUAUGGGAUCUAUGGAACAAAGGUGAAGCAACAGCUGUCAUAGACGACAAACUAAUGAAUCAAGAUAUUAAUGAUGAGAGCGAAGUGAUGAAGUGCGUACACAUUGGGUUGCUUUGCGUGCAAGAAAAUGCUUCGGAUAGACCAGACAUGCCCUCUGUUGUGUCCAUGUUUGGUCAUAACGCCAAUGACUUUCCUCCUCCCAAGCAUCCUGCGUUUACGUCGGGAAGGAAGCCACACGUCAAGAAUGACGACCUCAGUGGAGAAAACAGCGCUUCUGUUAAUGACAUUACUCUCACUGAUGUUUAUGGCCGUUGAAAUAUUUUGAAUUAUUGAGAGAUGUAUCUUAUUUUUGAUAACUAUGAAACAAGGAGGAAGCCGGAGAAGAAAUGGGGAAGAGUGGUGGUGGUGGUUAGCUCCCUGCUGAUGGAUCUGAUGUUUUCAUUGUUCCCAUGGUUUCUCCUCUUAUUACCUUUGUAAGACUUAUUUAUGAUCAUACUCUUUCUGGAUUAUGCUUAUUGGCUGAUGAAUUUACUGAGUUUAUCUUUGGGGUAGUGGUUAAAAUGUCACAUAAAAGUUUUUUUUUCCACAAACUCUUUAGGAGAAAUAAAAAGCAUAAAGUUAUUGCCAGUCAUUAUCAUCUUUAACUUCACCUGCUAUGGGAUGUAACUAUGUAAGUGUUUCUUGUUAGUGAUUGAUAUUAUCUUAUAGAGUUCUUUUCCAAAGAGGAUGCCAAACAUAUUAGAUGUAUGAUUUUUUAUUGUGUCAGGUGACCAUGAGAAUGAAUGUGGAUGUUUGACACCGCAUAUAUAGACAGUAUGUUGAAUACCAUGGAUUAUUAGAGUUCAUGACAAUAUUUCUAUGUAUGUGUAGACAAAAGUGAUGCUACAGGCAUAAUCUAAAGGUGAUAUUUCUAUGUAUGCUUGAGUGAACAAGAACACAGAGAAGACGAGGAACGUGUUAUCUGAAAAGACUUCAAACAUACUUCCUCCGUUUCAAUAUGAUUUAUGUUUUAGAGAAGUUUUGUUGUUUCAUAAUAGAUGAAGUUUGCACAAAUCUAUGUAACUUUAUCAAAAACUGUGUAAUCAAUUGAAUUUUUCUUAUUUUUAUUUAUAAUUAAAUAAACUAACUAUAUAUUGUAAUUUAGUGAUGCUUUUGUUAAAAAAUACUCACUUUGUUUCAAAAUACAUAAAGUUUUAGGAUGUGACACAACUAUUAAGAAACUUGUCUUUUAUCUAUAAAAAUAUCAUUAAAAUAUAAAUUAAAAAUUAUUUAACCAAUCACAAAACAGAUUACAAAAUAUGAUUGGUUACACAGUUUUUGAUAAAGUUAAAAAGUACAUUGAAAUAUGAAAACAUCAUAUAUUUUAAAACAUGAAAAACUCUAUAAAACAUCAUCUAUUUUGAAACGGAUAUAGUGGUUUUUCUUAAUAUUUGUGCAUUAGAGUAAAACAUCAAGUAGUAAAAAAUAGAGUGAGUAUUUUUUUUUAGGUGCUUUUUAAAAGUAAACAAAGCAGUAACUUCUGCAGAUGAAGCUAACCAAGGAAGCUUGAUUAGGGAAGACCUCCCGGGAGACUGUCUUGACCCAAGCUUCAUGUAAGAUGCUGGUUGAUAGUUGAAAUCGCCUCAGCAAGGAUGAGGUCAGAUAACCAAGAUGGACCCCGUACGCCUAUUGUCACGAGUAACACUUUUGGCAAUCUCUUCAGCCGCUACAUUGCUUCUAUCAGGUAACAAGGACUAAUCCCUAACUGGGAUAGCAAAAACGUAUCUGGAAACACCAGCCACAUAUAUGGCCGGACAAACGCCACCACCGACGAACCAUUUAUCAAAACCUCCGCGAGAACGAGAGCUAUGGAUAUGAAACCACCAACUUGAGACUGGACCGGUGAAGAGAACUAAAACACCUUCCUUUCUCUAGCAUCAACCAAGAACACAAAAAAGUUGUAUUUGAGACCGUCAAACAACACUGCCGGACAAAAAAUAUGAGAAGAUGACGAAAUUGGAAUGGAGAAAAUAAACCACAUGAGAGAAAGUAGAAAAGAGCCUCCCCGGCGGUGACGAAGCCAAACCACCGGGGAAGCUAUAGAUCUAAGAACAAAGGUUUUGGCGGCUGGGAACACUUCGAAAGAAAAAAAAAUUAGGUUUAGUAAUCAACCCAUAGAGUGAGUAUUAUUACUGUAUUUAAGUUGAAAAAAACAGAAUAUAUUCUCCAAUUAUUUUAAAGAUUAGAUAUUUUUUUCAAAACGAGCAGAAAAGCGGGAACAAUUUCUUUUUUUGAAAUAACUAUGGCUUUCUAAAAUUUCAAUUUUCGAGUAAAGGCAAAUAGAUCCGACUGAGCCCAAUCAAGGCCCAUAGCAACUAAAUAGAAUCUCUCUCUCUCUCUAAGGGAAUGGCAAUCAAACUGAAAAUUCGACUUAAACAGAAGGGCGAAACCGUAAAGUUGAAUCCGUUUCCAGUAGUAGGAAUGCGAUUCCCCUGCUUCGACGGCGCGUAUGAGCCACGCGCAUCGCCGGCCGGCCGUGGGCAGAAAAUCGCCAUAUUACGCUUUUUUUUUUGGUAUUUCAAUUCUCCAUUCACACAAGUGGAGGUGAAACGAAUCAAUUGCUUGGAUGAUAGUAGAUAGUAUAUAUGUCAAAUGUUAUAGUCUCCGAAGCAGAGAGAUCUGUGCCUUGCUUUCGAUUACAUUCGCCGCCGGUCAAGGAGUCAUUGGAGUUUAGGUAGGCAAUUGAUUUGAUUCAGAUUCUACAUAUGGUGGUUGCCAAUGGUUUCGUAAGAGCGUAUUGCCUUGCUUUUGAGUCAAAAUCGUCUUACGUUGGCUCCUAUGGUGAUGUGGAUGUUCAACAAGAAGAGAGUUUUUGGAAGUGAAACGAAUCGUUUGUUUAGAUGAGAAGAGCGCCACUGAUACACGGCAAUGUUAUAGUCUCUGAAGCAGAGUUUUAUCUACGUGUAGUAGUCACAGCUACAUAGCUAACCUUUGCAUACCUGAGACAUGUAACUCUAUACAUAGUUUGCAACGCUUAUUUUUAAAUGGAACAUGUAUAUUAUUCAGGUCACCUCUAUACAGAUGACCUUAAAAUCUAAAUCAUUUUAUAUGUUUGCUGUUUGUUUCAGAUAGGUUGAGUAAGCAUGUUUCAUAUGGAAGGAGGAGAUCCCUCACUCUUUCUAAUUGCCUUGAUGUUCUGUUCCAUUAGAAGGAAGCCAGAGGUAAUGCAAAGUGCAAACGAUUGAUUAUGUGCAAGCUGAAUUUGGUUUACUACUCCUUACAUAAUCUGAGAGUUUUCCAAGCUCAACUGCGAAAUCUGAAAUGCAAAAGUAGAUGCACAGUAACCUUUCUAGAGCAUAUUGAUGUACUUUUUUUCUAGGUGUCUUUGGAGGAUUAGCGUUUGAAGAAAAUAUAAAGAAGUGUAUAUUUAGUUAUUUACCACUAACUUUGAGUUUUGUUUUGUAAGUUUUAAUCACUGAGAAAUUUGUUUAUAAAAACAGGUUUCAAAUAUCACAGUAUGAUUGUGCCGUUACAUCAGUAUACAUUUAUUAUUCUAGGUAAACGGGGCCUGGCUAUUUAGUAUUUAGUGAAGACUUGUAUUGACUUGACUAUUUACUGGUUCCCUGUUUGUUCGUCUAAUUUUCUAUGUCACAUGACUCUUCUCUUACAAUGGGUGUAAAUGACCGAUGUUAACUGCUCCGUAAAAGACAGAGAAGAACACUACGAUACAAGUUUCCUAUUUCAGGUGUGGCCCACUUGGCUUUUAAUAUAGACCGACAGCAUUUGCUCGCUUCAUGGAAACUCUUGUUCUGAAACAAACACUGAAAUGAAGAUCGUCUUCGUCUUCUUCUUGUUUUUCUGCCUCCUCCAGUCUUGUACCUGCGACGAUACGAUCAUGAGAACACAUUCCAUGAGAGAUGGUGAUGUCAUAAUCUCUGAAGGGAAGAGGUUUGCAUUUGGAUUCUUCAGCCUUGGAGUUUCAAACCUCCGUUACGUCGGGAUUUGGUAUGCUCAAAUCUCUGAGCAGACUGUUGUAUGGGUUGCUAACAGAGACAGUCCCAUGAAUGACACAUCUGGGGUGAUAAGGUUCAGCAGCAGUGGGAACCUCUGCAUCUAUGCAUCAGCCAACACAACAGAACCUCUCUGGUCGACCAAUGUUUCAGACAGUGUCCUGGAACCAACUCUAGUUGCGAGACUCUCUCCUCUAGGGAACCUUGUUCUGCUUGACUCAGUUACAGGGAAAGGUUUCUGGGAGAGCUUUGAUCAUCCUACGGACUCUUCUCUUCCGUCUAUGAGGUUGGGUUUCACACGAAAAGACGGCUUGGAUCGCUUUCUAACGUCUUGGAAAUCUCCAGGUGACCCAAGCUCUGGAGCUUUCACAUACCGGAUAAAUCGCACGGGGUUCCCGCAGCUGAUUCUGUACAAAGGUCUGACCCCAUGGUGGCGUACGGGAUCCUGGACCGGGUUGGGAUGGAGCGGUGUGCCUGGAAUGUCAAGAAGAAGAGGCUCUUCUAUCUUCCAUAGCUCGUUUGUUAAUAACCAGGACGAAGUAUCCACAACCAACCGUGUGACGGAUGCUUCAGUCCUAACAAGAAUGAUGGUGAACGAAACAGGAAACGUGCAACGUCUCACAUGGGUCGAAACGGAGAAGAAAUGGAAUGUGUACUGGUCGGUUCCUAAAGAGGAAUGCGACAAUUAUGCACACUGCGGCCUUAACGGUUACUGUGAUCCCACAGGUUCAGCAUCGUUUGUGUGCACAUGCCUACCUGGUUUUGAGCCGAAGAUGCCCCGUGAUUGGCUCUUGAGGGACACUUCGGGUGGGUGUACUAAGAAAAACAACGCUUCAAUAUGCGGCCGUGAGAAAGAAGGGUUUGUGAAGUUAAAGCGCGUGAAGAUUCCCGACACAUCAGUUGCAAGUGUGGAUAUGAACAUAACACUGAAGGAGUGCAAACAGAGGUGCUUAGGGAACUGCUCUUGUGUCGCUUACGCAAGCGCUUACCAUGAAGGUGUGGGGGGAGCAAGAGGGUGCUUGACAUGGCACGGCGAUAUGUUGGAUGCGAGGAUAUACAUGAACACGGGACAAGAUUUCUACAUACGUGCAGACAGGGAAGAGAUAGGUAUGUAUAAUUAUAAAUGCAUUCUAAUGAUUUCUAAAGUAUUUUGAAGUACUUAGCAAGGGUUUGCUUACUUGUUGCAGAGCGGUGGAACAAAGAUGGCUUAUUACGGAAGAGGAGAGUCAUUAUCAUUGUCAUCAGUUUGAUUGCAGCCGUAAUGUUACUAGCCGUCAUUUCGUUCUGUUACGUAAGGAAGCGACGAAGUAAGUGAAUAUCUCUACGAUGUAUCUUUCAAGCUUUUAUGUUUCUUGAUUAUCUCACAACUGGCUAUUUUGCAAAUUUUCACCUGCAGAGUCGAACAGGGAAAGAAGAUCCUCAACAACCUUGGCUCCAGGUUCUCCAUUCAGAUUUGAAGAGGACCGGGGGAGAGAAUGGGAGUUACCUCUCUUUGAGCUUAACACAAUCGUUACAGCGACGAACAAUUUUGCUUUCCGUAACAAGCUUGGAGAAGGUGGUUUCGGACCCGUUUAUAAGGUAAGGAAGAUGCAAACUGCAUCUUCAAAUAUGCCUGAACUUUUUAUGUUACGCAAAUCUUUAACAAUACUCCUCCAUCAGAACAAUCUUUAAGUUCAAUAAGUAGGAAGGAAUGUUUAAGAUGUUUUCAAUCAAAAACGAUAUCUACUCAGGGCGUGUUAGAAGACGGUGCGGAGAUAGCAGUGAAGAGGUUGUCUAAAAACUCAGGCCAAGGGAUGGAAGAGUUCAAGAACGAGGUCAAGUUGAUAUCGAAGUUACAGCAUCGGAAUCUCGUGAGGAUGUUAGGAUGUUGCGUUGAAUCGGAAGAGAAGAUGUUGGUAUACGAGUAUUUACCAAACAAGAGUUUAGACUGUUUCAUAUUCGGUAAGUUCAACCUGUCUGAUGCAUGUAGUCUACACAUUCGAAUCUUCCAAUUCAGAAAGAUCUUAUGGUGUUGUGUUUCACGUAGAUGAAGAGCAGAGAUCGGAGUUAAAUUGGCCAAAACGGAUGGAGAUAAUACACGGGAUUGCUCGCGGAAUCUUGUACCUUCAUCAAGAUUCAAGACUGAGGAUCAUCCACAGAGACCUCAAGGCCAGCAAUGUACUUCUUGACAAUGAAAUGAUCCCCAAGAUUGCGGAUUUUGGCAUGGCGAGAAUCUUUGGGGGCAACCAAAUCAGAGGAAGCACAAAUCGUGUCGUCGGAACAUAGUGAGAUAGUCUUUUAUAAUUCACAUUGAACUGUGCAGAAUCUUUCAACCUUACAUCGUUUUCAAUCUCAUUGUCACAGUGGAUAUAUGUCAC
rnacentral:lncRNA from 1 species